UACGUAGGGGGCAAGCGUUGUCCGGAAUCAUUGGGCGUAAAGCGCGUGUAGGCGGUUCGGUAAGUCUGCUGUGAAAGUCCAGGGCUCAACCCUGGGAUGCCGGUGGAUACUGUCGGACUAGAGUGCGGAAGAGGCGAGUGGAAUUCCCGGUGUAGCGGUGAAAUGCGCAGAUAUCAGGAGGAACACCGAUGGCGAAGGCAGGUCUCUGGGCCACUACUGACGCUGAGAAGCGAAAGCAUGGGGAGCGAACAGG
rnacentral:rRNA from 1 species